AUGAAAAAGAAGAGGAGAGGCGAUGGAGACAUGUUCACUUCCGUCCUGGAGCGGCUCACCUUUCAGGUUUUUGUCACGUGCCCGAAAACAGGAAGAGAAACAAGACGCUGGCACCGCCCGGCUCAGUGACGUCACGCAGGAACUUAUAGCUUUGCUUCAAUAGCAGAAAUCCAACGGCAAUCGAAUCGAUUCUGCAGAAAAAGCAGCAAUAACUAAGCCUUCUUCAAGCCUAAACUUCCAAGUCCAUUGCAACAUGCUGCCAAUGUUGUCGUCACAUCUCCGUGGGGCCGAUUACACGUUACUCGGGCACUCACUGUGGUCGUCUCGCCACUUUGCACUAUUUGCAUAUCUGUGCCCGAGUAGCAUCUGCAACGUUAUUGUCCCACUUUGAGUCACUUGAAACCGCAUCCCCUCCUUGAAGUCUCUGCGCCCUUUGCACAAUGCUCAUCGCUGCGGACGAUGGAUCUAUUAGUCGUUUCAAACUGCUCUAAUUGCUGGAGGACUCAAAGAAAGAAAUUCAAUAAAUGGUACCGGCGUUACCGCACAACUGGUAACCUUUUAUUGCUCAGUGACUGUGUUUUUUAGGACUUUAUGUCUCAAAAGUAUUCUCUGUCGUUGUGCAAGAGCGGCUCCAACUCCCGGAGACAAAUUCCUUGUGCCUUUUUGACAUACUUGGCAAAUAAAGAGGAUUCUGACGAA